CAAGGUGUGGCGUAAUGGUAACGCAGUACACUGUGAAUGUACGAACGAGGGUUCGAUUCCCUCCAUCUUGA
rnacentral:tRNA from 1 species